CACAAGUAAGAUUAGUGUUAUUCAUCUUUAUUAGGUUUAAAGGGUACCUAGACGGCAAAAGCAACUUCUAAAAAAGUAUAUCUUUGCUAGAGUUUUAUGUGAGAGGUAAAUAUUAGAACUAUCGGUGUAGGGAUGAAAUCCCUUGAUACUGAUAGAAUGUGUAACGGCGAAGACAACCCUCUAUGUAUAACUGACGUUGAGGGACGAAGGCUUGGGGAGCAAACAGG
rnacentral:rRNA from 1 species